rnacentral:rRNA from 1 species
UACGUAGGCAGCAAGCGUUGUUCGGAAUUACUGGGCGUAAAGAGUGUGUAGGCGGUGCUCUAAGUUCGGUGUGAAAUCUCCUGGCUCAACUGGGAGGGUGCGCCGGAAACUGGGGUGCUGGAGUGCGGGAGAGGAAAGCGGAAUUCCUGGUGUAGCGGUGAAAUGCGUAGAUAUCAGGAGGAACACCGGCGGUGUAGACGGCUUUCUGGACCGUAGCUGACGCUGAGACACGAAAGCGUGGGUAGCAAACAGG